AGAGUUUGAUCCUGGCUCAGCCUGCAACGCUGGCGUNGUUNUNUGGCUAAGACAUGCAAGUCGCACGGGGUGGCAACACCCAGUGGCGAACGGGUGAGUAAUGCAUCGCUAACGUGCCCCGGACUCAGGGAUAGCCGGCCGAAAGGCCGGGUAAUACCCGAUGACCUGACCUCGUCGCCUGGCGGGGUCCGCAAAGGAGCAAUUCGGUUCGGGAGCGGGCGAUGUCGUAUCAGGUAGUUGGUGCGGGUAACGGCCCACCAAGCCGACGACGCGUAGCUGGUCUGAGAGGACGGCCAGCCACAUCGGGACUGAGACACUGCCCGGACUCCUACGGGGGGCUGCAGUAACGAAUCUUCCGCAAUGCCCGCAAGGGUGACGGAGCGACGCCGCGUGUGGGACGAAGUCCUUCGGGAUGUAAACCACUGUCAGGGGUUACCAAGUUCUGAGGAACCCCAGAGGAAGGCACGGCUAACUCUGUGCCAGCAGCCGCGGUAAGACAGAGGUGCCGAGCGUCAGGCGGAAUCACUGGGCUUAAAGCGCGUGUGGCGGGUCCGUAAGUGCCUUGUGAAAUCCCACGGCUCAACCGUGGAACUGCUGGGCAUACUGCGGGUCUUGGGCCCGUCCAGGGGCGAGCGGAACAAGCGGUGGAGCGGUGAAAUGCGUAAUUUCGCUUGGAACGCCAAUGGUGAAAACAAGCUCGCUGGGGAACGUGCCGACCCUGAAGACGCGAAAAGCCAGGGGAGCGAACGGGAUUAGAUACCCCGGUGUCCUGGCCUUAAACGAUGUCCAUUAGGUCGUGGGAACUUUUGGACGNUUUUCCCGCCCGAACAAAGUGCUAAAUGGAACCCCCUGGGAAGUACGGUCGCAAGGCUAAAACUCAAAGGAAUUGACGGGGGCUCACACAACCGGUGGAGCAUGUGUUUUAAUUCGAAGCAACGCGCAGAACCUAACCUGGGCUUGACAUGCUUGGAUUAUCCCGGUGAAAGUGGGUACGCCCCGCAAGGGGUGGAACAAGUACAGGUGCUGCAUGGCUGUCGUCAGCUCGUGUCGUGAGAUGUCGGGUUAAGUCCCUUAACGAGCGAAACCUUUGCCCUUAGUUGCCAGCGGUUAACGCCGGGGACUCUAAGGGGACUGCCGGUGUCAAACCGGAGGAAGGUGGAGAUGACGUCAAGUCCUCAUGGCCUUUAUGCCCAGGGCCACACACAGUGCUACAAUGGGACGGACAGAGCGAACCGACCGCGAGCGGUGGAAAUCGCUACAAAUCGUCCCCCAGUUCAGAUCGGAGGCUGCAACCCGCCUCCGUGAAGUUGGAAUCGCUAGUAAUCGCGGAUAGCUACGACCUGCGGUGAAUGUGUUCCUGAGCCUUGUACACACGCGCCUCGUCAAGUCAUGGGAUGUCCGGGAACGGCCGAAGUUCGUCCGCACCACUACGCCGGUGCAUACGCCGGGCGUCUGGUGACUGGGACUAAUGUCGUAAACAAGGUACGCCGUACGCGGGAACCUGACGNGCUGGAUCACCUCCUU
rnacentral:rRNA from 1 species